AUUGAACGCUGGCGGCAGGCCUAACACAUGCAAGUCGAGCGAGCGGCGGACGGGCGAGUAAUGUUUGGGCAUCUGGGCUAUAGAGGGAGAUAACGACGGGAAACUGUGGCUCAUCCCGCGUACUCUAGGAUGAGCCCAUGUGGGAUUAGGUAGUUGGGGGGGUAAAGGCCUACCAAGGCGACGCUGUCUAGCUGGUCUGAGAGGAUGACCAGCCACACGGGGACUGAGACACGGCCCGUACGUCUAAGGUAGGCAGGAGGGGGGAAUAUUGCGGAAUGGGGGGAACCUGACGCAGCCAUGCCGCGGGGAUGAAGGAGGCCUUAGGGUUGUAAAGUCCUUUCGGUGAGGAGGCGUUAAUCGCAGAAGAAGCACCGGCUAACUCCGGGCCAGCAGGCGGGGUAAUUC
rnacentral:rRNA from 1 species